rnacentral:lncRNA from 1 species
CAUUCAGGAGCCCUUUCAACAGUGAGAAGUGAGAAAUACUCUUUUGCUGCUGUGCCAGAAGGGUAGGGAAACAGCAGCAUUCAUCCCAUUGAACCAGCCGCUGUUUUGAGGAUGCCACCACAGCUGACUGUGACGCUCUUCCUCUUUGCACUGAUCCAGAGAAGAGCAUCUACGAAGAGAUUCCAGACUGACUGUGGGACACUGGAACUUUCCAGAACUACUGCGAGCCGUGAACAUGCCUUUGAGGAGAGUCCUACCAGCCAGUAAUACAGCAAAGUGUGGUGGAGAGACCAUAUUCUGCCUUACAACAAAUCCUGCUAUCAAGCUACAGCACCCUCUGAAAUCAGGGUAAGGCAGCCUUUAAAAAAAGAAUAAUCUUGAAACUGUCGUGUCUGUAGCCCAUCUGCUUUGCCCAUCGUGGUAAGCAAUUUAUCCAGCAU